AGUGAAAGCUGGCGGUAGGCCUAACACAUGCAAGUCGAACGGCAGCACAGUAAGAGCUUGCUCUUACGGGUGGCGAGUGGCGGACGGGUGAGGAAUACAUCGGAAUCUACUUUUUCGUGGGGGAUAACGUAGGGAAACUUACGCUAAUAACGCAUACGACCUACGGGUGAAAGCAGGGGAUCUUCGGACCUUGCGCGAAUGAAUGAGCCGAUGUCGGAUUAGCUAGUUGGCGGGGUAAAGGCCCACCAAGGCGACGAUCCGUAGCUGGUCUGAGAGGAUGAUCAGCCACACUGGAACUGAGACACGGUCCAGACUCCUACGGGAGGCAGCAGUGGGGAAUAUUGGACAAAGGGCGCAAGCCUGAUCCAGCCAUACCGCGUGGGUGAAGAAGGCCUUCGGGUUGUAAAGCCCUUUUGUUGGGAAAGAAAAGCAGCAGGUUAAUACCCCGCUGUUCUGACGGUACCCAAAGAAUAAGCACCGGCUAACUUCGUG
rnacentral:rRNA from 1 species